rnacentral:rRNA from 1 species
UGGGGGAUAUUGCGCAAUGGGGGAAACCCUGACGCAGCAACGCCGCGUGAAGGAAGAAGGUCUUCGGAUUGUAAACUUCUUUUGUCAGGGACGAAGAAAGUGACGGUACCUGACGAAUAAGCUCCGGCUAACUACGUGCCAGCAGCCGCGGUAAUACGUAGGGAGCGAGCGUUGUCCGGAUUUACUGGGUGUAAAGGGUGCGUAGGCGGCCGAGCAAGUCAGUUGUGAAAACUAUGGGCUUAACCCAUAACGUGCAAUUGAAACUGUCCGGCUUGAGUGAAGUAGAGGUAGGCGGAAUUCCCGGUGUAGCGGUGAAAUGCGUAGAGAUCGGGAGGAACACCAGUGGCGAAGGCGGCCUACUGGGCUUUAACUGACGCUGAGGCACGAAAGCAUGGGUAGCAAACAGGAUUAGAUACCCUGGUAGUCCAUGCCGUAAACGAUGAUUACUAGGUGUGGGGGGACUGACCCCUUCCGUGCCGCAGUUAACACAAUAAGUAAUCCACCUGGGGAGUACGGCCGCAAGGUUGAAACUCAAAGGAAUUGACGGGGGCCCGCACAAGCAGUGGAGUAUGUGGUUUAAUUCGAAGCAACGCGAAGAACCUUACCAGGUCUUGACAUCCUGAGAAUCCUUAAGAGAUUAGGGAGUGCCUUCGGGAACUCAGAGACAGGUGGUGCAUGGUUGUCGUCAGCUCGUGUCGUGAGAUGUUGGGUUAAGUCCCGCAACGAGCGCAACCCUUGCUAUUAGUUGCUACGCAAGAGCACUCUAAUAGGACUGCCGUUGACAAAACGGAGGAAGGUGGGGACGACGUCAAAUCAUCAUGCCCCUUAUGACCUGGGCUACACACGUACUACAAUGGCGUAAACAAAGUGAAGCGAAGUCGUGAGGCCAAGCAAAUCACAAAAAUAACGUCUCAGUUCGGAUUGCAGGCUGCAACUCGCCUGCAUGAAGUCGGAAUUGCUAGUAAUCGCGGAUCAGCAUGCCGCGGUGAAUACGUUCCC